CCCCUCAAGGAGAAGCCGUCGCCCCCAUCUCCCGUUCCGCCGCCGCCGCCCCCGUGCUCCCUGUUGGUUUUCCCCCUCCGCAUCGCUGGAUCCAACUCCUCCCUCUCCCUCGGUCUUGCCUCUCCUCGAUGUCGCUCGGUCCUCUCGGGGUUCGCCACCCGCCGUCGUACCCCGCCGCCGUGCUCCGCUGUUGCCCCUCCCUCCGCCUGCCUCGCCCCUGCUCUAGGGUUCGCCAGCCGCCGCCGGCCCCCGCCGCCCUGCUCCGCUGUUGCCCGUCCCUCCGCCUGCCUCGCCCCCCUCCCCUACACUCACCCCUGCCCGAUCUGGAUCUGGAUGAGGCGUUGCCUCCCGUUCCUCUCAUCACGUCCCUUGUGCCAACCAUGGAAGAGGGGAGGAAGAAGUAGAAGCUUCUCUGUAGAAUCAGCCGAUCGAGCGGGGCUCUUGAUCUUGGCUAGCGAGAAUUCGGCAGAUCUCGUCGAUGCUGUAGGGCCUGGCCCGUUCCAUGUCUCUGGGAAAGGAGAGGAAGGUGGAGGAGGAGCACCAGGGGACGAUGCUGCGGUCGUCGGGGACGCUCUGGGGCGAGGGCUCCGAGACGUCGCCGCCACCUGCGCUGAACCCCAGGGCAGGGUGCGACGAGCCUAGCAAGGAGUACUUGCCGGCCGUACACAGGUGGGCUCAACUAUGGCCUUUAGCCACUCUGCCUGCAAGCUCGACGCCAUAGUUUGACAGGGCCAAGGUGGUAGUAGACGAUGACGAAUAUGGCGCCCUGGCUGUCUCUGUUCAUGAGAUUCCUCUAUGGUGGCCGAAUUUGUAUCACACCAGGCUGCUCCCCUCGUAUUGCAAAUCAGAGCUAGCUUAUAUUCAUCCAUAGGUCAUGGCUGACUCCAAAGGCAACACUCCUCCAGUCCUCCUGUGCGUGAUGGCAAAGCUAUGCUACAUGAUAUUAUCAGCUAUGAGAUAUUAUUUGAAGAACCAUGCAAAGCAAUUUGAGAUGAUGCAUAUAAAGCAUCUUGGAUUUAUUAAGUGUGUUUAAGUAUUCAAUUUAUUAAGAGUUCACUCAUCAUUGCCGACCGUACACAGGUAUUCUGAACCUUACCAUCCGAUUUUCAGAAUAAGAGUUGUCUGUAGAAUUCAUGGUGGUUAAAACAACAACAUCUGUAGAAUUCCCCUUUGUCCAUGUUGUACCUACAAUUUACUACUAUAUCUGUACUGCUACUUCAUUUGAAUUUUGUAACCAAAAGAAAUGCAGGCGAGCGAUUCAGGGUUAUUGUUCGAAUUGGCUAUAAUAUGUGGGGGUUAUUGUUCGAAGUGGCUAUAAAAUGUGGCUCUAGAGGUGCUGGAGCUGCAAACUUGCCGAGGCCAGCAUAAGAAGUGAUGGAGUUAUCUUCUACUUUUAUUUGUUCAUGUUGUCUCAACAAAUUGACUUGUGUUUAUGGCGACUUUUUUAUGUGUCCAUGGAUCAGAGAGGAUGGAUGAUGCAGUGGCCACAUCAAGCGCCCUAUGCUCGACGACAAUGGAAAUGCAGUUUCUCAGAGCUAGCAGGAAGGAGGCUGAUGGCUUCCCGUUGUAGUAACGCGAUGGAGAAGAGACAAGACACCAGGCUUGUAAACAACUACAAUGAUAUUACACAUCACUUUCUGUACUACAUUUAUGUGCAUUCGGAUCUCGCCAAGGCUAAGAAAUCUGCCUCGUAGCCCCAACUAAUGCAUCAACUUGGAACCAAGGUCCACCCUCUAAUAAUCAGCAUAUAUGCCGCAUGUGUCAGACUCAUGGGGGUCAAACAGAUGAGGAGAAGGAAGCAGCAAGGAAGAAGGUAGAGGAGAUGGAUACCUGAUCUGCAAGUUCCUGAAUUUCAACAUUUAUUGCGUGUUGCUGUGUUAAUAUUGGGUGCAGCAAUUUCACAACUCUGGGAAAAGCUUCUGCUGGAGGACAUCACCUGCGGCAUCACCUGCAUCGACCUCUCGCUGAUUACCAUCCCAAGGAUGCGCGACCGACUGGCGGAGCAGGGCACCAGUGAUAAGUUCACCGAUUUGGUCGACUCACCGUUCCCUUCCUCUGUCCACGCAAUGCCGCUCGUUGUUGUUAGGUUUCUCUUGAACGUGAUGCUUUAUUUAUUGUACUGAACAGUGGAAGCUAACUGUUUCUUUAUACAGAAUUAGCCUGCACCAUUUUUGUGCUUCCACCUUCCAAACUACAAGGUCUGCAACCUUAGAUGAACAACUACAGCUAUAUUUGCCCGAGGAUGAUUUGAUUGUGCAAGGAAUCCAAAGCGAUGCAUAAAGUGGGAGUUUGCAGGGAAUCCAAAGCGAUGCAUAAAGUGGGAUAUUUUUCUUUUAAUUUAUGCACUCAUGAAAUGGGAAAGAACUAAAUCAACCAAUUUGCAGGGUGAGUAUUCAUUGUUUCAGAAUUUUAUAUUCUUGCAUGUUAAAACUCCAAGAUGGUUGCGAGCUAAGGAAGUGAUUUUUGGUGCAACUUCUCGUCCGUUCCCGCUAGCGGCAAGGCAAACCCUAGCGCGCCUCCUCCAGCCUCCCCCCUCCUCUCUUGCUCGCGUCGGUGGCGGCGGGGUAUCUUGCCCUUCCUCAUGGUGGUCCAGUGCGGACAGCGACUCGGAGCGGAGGCGCGCAGUUCUGUAGGACAGUGCGGCGUUGCGGCGGCUGGGGCAGCACGACGAUGGCGUCCUGGGUUGGUGGCGCGGGCGGCUUCUCAUCGGGGGCGUGGUGGGGCGUGCCUACGCGGGUGGUGGCUGUGGGCGUCCUGGCCAGAUCUGGAUCGGGCGGGUGCUCUGGCCGGGGCCCAGCAGGCGGCAAGGGCCAGCUGGCAGCGCGCGGGGGCUGGUGUUCACGGUUGAGGACCCCGGUUGCUCUUAUAGUACUAGGGGUAGUGUUGCUGCGCUCAACGCCUAUGUAUCCAGCCUUGGUGUGUGCGUGUGUUAUGGUGACGUGCGUUUGUAUCUGAGUUGUGGUCGGUCAUUGCUUUAUAUAUAAAGCGGGACGAAAGCCUUUUUCGGUAACAACUUAUGUUCUUUUA